CAGCACCUCAAGUGGUCAGGAUGAUUAUUGGGCCUAAAGCAUCCGUAGCCGGCGCUGUAAGUUUUCGGUUAAAUCUGUACGCUCAACGUACAGGCUGCCGGGAAUACUGCAGCGCUAGGGAGUGGGAGAGGUAGACGGUACUCGGUAGGAAGGGGUAAAAUCCUUUGAUCUAUUGAUGACCACCUGUGGCGAAGGCGGUCUACCAGAACACGUCCGACGGUAAGGGAUGAAAGCUGGGGGAGCAAACCGGAUUAGAUACCCGCGUAGUCC
rnacentral:rRNA from 1 species